AGAAGCGUAAACCUAGAAAUAAAAAAAAAAUGGCGACAAGUUUCGUGUGCAGGGCAUCGGCAACUAAUCAGACCUUAAGCUUCUUCAGAUUGUCUUUCAACUUCCUCAAAAGCUUCAGCACUUCUGCUCCCUCCGCUAAUGCCUCUUCCACUUCCUCGAGAAACCCAACCGAAAAAAGAAGAAGAACUUGUUCGAGGUUGCUCAGUUUUUGCCCAAUUGGGGAAUCGGUUAUCACAUGGCUAAAUCUCAUUGGGAAAACGUCUCUUAUGAGAUUACUAAGAUCAAUCUCUACAAGGAUGGUAGGCAUGGAAAAGCCUGGGGGAUUGCUUAUAAAGACGGAAUUCCUG
rnacentral:misc_RNA from 1 species